GUUUCUGUAGUUAAAUAAUAACAAUGGUUUUUCAAGUCAUCAUCCCUGGUUAGAGUCCAGGCAGAAAUU
rnacentral:tRNA from 1 species